rnacentral:rRNA from 1 species
CCUACGGGGGGCAGCAGUGGGGAAUAUUGGACAAUGGGGGAAACCCUGAAGCAGCGACGCCGCGUGAGGGAGGAAGGAUUUCGGGAUGGAAAGCUCUAUCAGCAGGGAAGAAAAUGACGGUACCUGACGAAGAAGCUCCGGCUAACUACGUGCCAGCAGCCGCGGUAAUACGUAGGGGGCAAGCGUUAUCCGGAUUUACUGGGUGUAAAGGGAGCGUAGACGGGAUUGCAAGUCAGAUGUGAAAACCCGGGGCCCAACCCCUGAACUGCAUUGGAAACUGUAUGUCUGGAGUGAAGGAGAGGCAGGCGGAAUUCCUGGUGUAGCGGUGAAAUGCGUAGAUAUCAGGAGGAACACCAGUGGCGAAGGCGGCUUGCUGGACGAUGACUGACGUUGAGGCUCGAAAGCGUGGGUAGCAAACAGGAUUAGAUACCCUAGUAGUC